GUGACUGAGUUAUUGGGUGAGUGCGUUGUUGUGUAAAUAUGUUUUAAGUAGGUUUUAAGGUUGGAGUUUUAGCUUUAGUCAGUAGUAGGGUGGAGUUUAGAAUGGUAGGAUGUAUAUUAUGGUAGAACGAAGUUGUGGGUUCCUCCAUUGAGUUAUUAAAGACACCUGUACCUGACUGAACGUGUCGAGUCUGUUUUAUCGUGCGAACCUUUACAUGGCGACCUUCCCAGGAUCUCUCUGCGAUGUCAACACCAUGCGGUCACGACAAUAGGCUACAUCACGUCAUUGGUAUAUGAGGAGUAGCUUACGUAUCACUUUAUACAUGCAAAUCAGGAUUCCGAGUCGAUCACAACUUACGGUGGCAAGGGUCCAAGUUCGGAGUGUUCGAUCACAGUGUGUUAUGAUUGGAGUUCAGUAACCGGUGACCUCGAGGGUGCUGGCUUCCUAAGCGCGCGCAACGAUAUCGUUAACAUCUGCUAAUAGUACAUCAGGUUUGAAACGGAUGCAGCAGGACUCGGAGGUUGGCCGGACAUUGGAGGAUCAGACUGUGCCUAAUUGUGUAGUCCUUGAUUGAACAUGGUGUGUUAUAACGUGUGAUAUCAUUAUUUCAUCUUGUAUGUGUUUGUAUUGGGGCAGAGAGGUGUAUAAUAUUUCAUAAUUGCUGCAUAUAUUUAAAACUAUUUUAACUGGAGAUUGAAAGACGUGACCACCCUGCGUUUUGAUUUGAAUUUUGUACGCUAUUUAUGUAAUGUUGGUGUGUUAAGAGGAACCCACAUCUUUAGUUACAAAUUUUGAAAGUGGGGUAGAGUUGAGGUGGUUUUGCUGAAGAUAUUAUUGGUGUAUGUAUAUAUGUUCAUUUUAUACUAUAGAGUUUGAAGAUGUUAUGAGUUUG